rnacentral:lncRNA from 1 species
GGAGCUAUGAGUACACAGUUCUCAUUUAUUUUCUUAGCCAUAACAUUAUUUUUAAUGACUGAAGAGAAUAGGAGGGGAUUAAGAUCAUCAACAUUGCUCAUCUAGGAAGACAGUAGAGAGGCUUACAGAUCUCAGUACAAACCUUUAUUUAUCUACAGGUACAAGUACAUGUUCACUGAGUACAGAAAUACGUAGUGCAAGAGGAAAACAUGCUGGGUCUCACUGAAAUGUUGCAUGGAACAGAAUGUCUUUCUGCUCUUCCUUUGGCUUCCACAGGGUGAUGUUGGACUUCCUGGGCCGCCUGGGUCACCACUGUUAGUUGGACCUCCUGGAGCUCAGCUGUUCAAAGGAGAAAAGGGCCAAAAAGGACUGCCUGGGGUAACAGGAUACAGAGGGCCACGUGGACCCAAAGGUAUACUUGGGAGAGGAGAAAAGGGUGAAAAAGGCAUUCCUGGAUUCCC